GGGAUUGUGGCUUAGUGGUAGAGCUCUUACCUAGCACAUAUGAGACACUGAGUUUGAUCCUCAGCACCA
rnacentral:tRNA from 1 species